CACCAAUAGAAGGCCCCACAUUGUUCCCCCCCCCCCCCCCCCACUCAACCCGGAUCACAUAGGCCACCCUGCGUAACCCUCACCAGGGCCUUAUCUGGAGACCCCCCCAUACCACAAUGCCACAAAAGCCCCCGUGUCAUUACCCAUCAUAGGGCCACCUCACCCCUCCUGACAGGGGGUAACCGUACCACCAUGAUAACCAAGUCAUGAUACGCCUAGCCCGCCAAGACAGAUACGCAAUAAGGCACAAAACUCGCCUCCUCCUAACACACUCACUUAUGGCAUGGCCCGCACCAGCCACUUAUAACAUGGCCCACCUACCUGCCCUAACUCCUGAUAUAUCAGGAAAAGCACCCACUAACAUGGGGUUCUUGGACAUAUCAUUUGAUGACACAAUUUGCUUAGACUGCACAAACCGGUGGCUAAUUCUAUAAAGAGAUUAAAAGCUAAAGCCUCACAUUAAACCACAUAUCUCCCUUGAUGCAACAAUUAAGGUACCCAGAACAACAACAACAAAAGGGAAAAAUUAAAUAUCAAUCGGCCACAUCCUUUUAGCAGAGAGCAAAAACAUAGCAUGCAUAGCCACAUGCGCAUAUCCUAAUUAAUUCAGUAAGCCUAGCUAGCCCUGAUACCGUACCACAUCUCAGCAUAGCUAACAGUUUUG